GAUGAACGCUGGCCACAGGCUUAACACAUGCAAGUCGAGGGGAAACGACGGGGAAGCUUGCUUCCCCGGGCGUCGACCGGCGCACGGGUGAGUAACGCGUAUCCAACCUGCCUCUGACUGAGGGAUAACCCGUCGAAAGUCGGCCUAAUACCUCAUGGUAUCGUCUGCGGGCAUCCAACGACGAUUAAAGAUUUCAUCGGUCAGGGAUGGGGAUGCGUCUGAUUAGCUUGUUGGCGGGGUAACGGCCCACCAAGGCUACGAUCAGUAGGGGUUCUGAGAGGAAGGUCCCCCACAUUGGAACUGAGACACGGUCCAAACUCCUACGGGAGGCAGCAGUGAGGAAUAGUGGUCAAUGGGCGAGAGCCUGAACCAGCCAAGUAGCGUGCAGGAAGACGGCCCUAUGGGUUGUAAACUGCUUUUAUGCGGGGAUAAAGUGAGGGACGGGUCCCUCAUUGCAGGUACCGCAUGAAUAAGGACCGGCUAAUUCCGUG
rnacentral:rRNA from 1 species